UAGGGAAUCUUCCGCAAUGGACGAAAGUCUGACGGAGCAACGCCGCGUGAGUGAAGAAGGAUUUCGGUUCGUAAAACUCUGUUGUUAGGGAAGAAAAAAUGUAUAGUAACUAUAUACAAAAGAGACGGUACCUAACCAGAAAGCCACGGCUAACUACGUGCCAGCAGCCGCGGUAAUACGUAGGUGGCAAGCGUUGUCCGGAAUUAUUGGGCGUAAAGCGCGCGCAGGUGGUUUAGAAAGUCUGAUGUGAAAGCCCACGGCUCAACCGUGGAGGGUCAUUGGAAACUAAUAAACUUGAGUGCAGGAGAGAAAAGUGGAAUUCCUAGUGUAGCGGUGAAAUGCGUAGAGAUUUGGAGGAACACCGGUGGCGAAAGCGGCUUUUUGGCCUGCAACUGACACUGAGGCGCGAAAGCGUGGGGAGCAAACAGG
rnacentral:rRNA from 1 species